rnacentral:rRNA from 1 species
UACGUAGGGUGCGAGCGUUAAUCGGAAUUACUGGGCGUAAAGCGUGCGCAGGCGGUUUUGUAAGCCAGAUGUGAAAUCCCCGGGCUUAACCUGGGAAUGGCAUUUGGGACUGCAAGGCUUGAGUGCGGCAGAGGAGAAUGGAAUUCCCGGUGUAGCGGUGAAAUGCGCAGAUAUCAGGAGGAACACCGGUGGCGAAGGCGGGUCUCUGGGUAGUAACUGACGCUGAGGAACGAAAGCGUGGGUAGCGAACAGG